GCUUGUUUCGGCAUCACAUAUACUAAAAUUGGAACGAUACAGAGAAAAUUAGCAUGGCCCCUGUGCAAAGAUGACACGCAAAUUCGUAAAGCGUUCCAUAUUAUA
rnacentral:snRNA from 1 species